GAGUUUGAUCAUGGCUCAGAAUGAACGUUGGCGGCGUGGAUUAGGCAUGCAAGUCGUACGCAUAGCUUCGGCUAUGAGUGGCGCAAGGGUGAGUAAUGCGAAGGUAACCAACCCUGGUGUUGGGCAUAGCCGCGGGAAACUGCGGGUAAUUCCCAGCGACGUCACGAGAUGGCAUCAUCUUGUGACCAAAGGUGUGAUUCCGCUCUAGGACGGGCCUUCGUGGCAUUAGGUAGUUGGUGAGGUAACGGCUCACCAAGCCGACGAUGCCUACCGGGUGUGAGAGCAUGACCCGGCACACUGGAACUGAGACACUGUCCAGACACCUACGGGUGGCUGCAGUCGAGAAUCUUCGGCAAUGGGCGAAAGCCUGACCGAGCGACGCCGCGUGAGGGAUUGAAGGCCUUCGGGUUGUAAACCUCUUUCGUAGAGGAGGAAGGGGCCGUGAAGAACGGUCUUUGACCUAUUCUAGGAAGAAGCUUGGGCUAAGUUCGUG
rnacentral:rRNA from 1 species